AUUGAACGCUGGCGGCAGGCCUAACACAUGCAAGUCGAACGAGUGGCGGACGGGUGAGUAAUGUCUGGGAAAAUGCCUGAUGUAGGGGGAUAACUAAUGGAAACGGUAGCUAAUACCGCAUACCAUACGACCUGCCCAUAUGGGAUGAGCUUGUUGGUGGGGUAACGGCUCCCCAGGGCGACGUUCCCUAUCUGGUCUGAGAGGAUGACCAGCCAAACAGGAACUGAGACACGGUCCAGACUCCUACGGGAGACAGCAGUGGGGAAUAUUGCACAAAGGGGGCAAGCCUGAUGCGGCAAUGCCGAGUGUAUGAAGAUGGCCUUCGGGUUGUAAAGUACUUACAGCGGGGAGGCGUUACCCGCAGAAGAAGCACCGGCUAACUCCGUGCCAGCAGCCGCGGUAAUAC
rnacentral:rRNA from 1 species